GGUCAAGAGUCUCAGCGUCAAGCCCCGGCUUGCUGAGCGGCAACCCUCCGCCGCGGUGGGGUGCUCCGGGUGACGACCCGGCCCACCCGGCAGCCGCCCGUGGGCAAGCGCGAGUC
rnacentral:ncRNA from 1 species